rnacentral:rRNA from 1 species
UACGGGGGGGGGCAAGCGUUGUUCGGAAUUACUGGGCGUAAAGGGCUCGUAGGUGGCCAACUAAGUCGGACGUGAAAUCCCUCGGCUUAACCGGGGAACUGCGUCUGAUACUGGAUGGCUUGAGUUCGGGAGAGGGAUGCGGAAUUCCAGGUGUAGCGGUGAAAUGCGUAGAUAUCUGGAGGAACACCGGUGGCGAAGGCGGCAUCCUGGACCGACACUGACGCUGAGGAGCGAAAGCGUGGGGAGCAAACAGG